rnacentral:rRNA from 1 species
GUCGAGAAUAAUUCACAAUGGACGAAAGUCUGAUGGUGCAACGCCGCGUGGAGGAUGAAGGUCUUCGGAUUGUAAACUCCUGUCAUCGGGGAGUAAGACCUGGCGGUAAAUAGCCGACAGGGUUGAUAGUACCCGAAGAGGAAGGGACGGCUAACUUCGUGCCAGCAGCCGCGGUAAUACGAAGGUCCCAAGCGGUGUUCGGAAUCACUGGGCGUAAUGGGAGCGUAGGCGGCGUGGUAAGGCAGAUGUGAAAUCCCGGGGCUCAACCCCGGAACUGCAUCCGAUACUGCCAUGCUUGAGGGUUGGAGAGGUAGCUGGAAUUCUCGGUGUAGCAGUGAAAUGCGUGGAUAUCGAGAGGAACACUCGUGGCGAAGGCGAGCUACUGGACAACAUCUGACGCUGAGGCUCGAAGGCCAGGGGAGCAAAAGGGAUUAGAAACCCGGGUAGUCC